GGAGAGAUGGCAGAGUGGUUGAUAGCUCCAGUCUUGAAAACUGGCGUACCUUUGCGGGUACCGGGGGUUCGAAUCCCUCUCUCUCCG
rnacentral:tRNA from 1 species